rnacentral:rRNA from 1 species
AUGCAAGUCGAACGGCAGCACAGUAAGAGCUUGCUCUUAUGGGUGGCGAGUGGCGGACGGGUGAGGAAUACAUCGGAAUCUACCUUUUCGUGGGGGAUAACGUAGGGAAACUUACGCUAAUACCGCAUACGACCUUCGGGUGAAAGCAGGGGACCUUCGGGCCUUGCGCGGAUAGAUGAGCCGAUGUCGGAUUAGCUAGUUGGCGGGGUAAAGGCCCACCAAGGCGACGAUCCGUAGCUGGUCUGAGAGGAUGAUCAGCCACACUGGAACUGAGACACGGUCCAGACUCCUACGGGAGGCAGCAGUGGGGAAUAUUGGACAAUGGGCGCAAGCCUGAUCC